ensembl:misc_RNA 7SK 7SK RNA
GGAUGUGAGGGCUAUCUGGCUGUGACAUCUGUCAACCCAUUAAUCGCCAGAGUUGAUUCAGCUGACCUGGCUGAGUAGGCAGAUGUCCCCUUCCUCCCUCACCAUUCCAUGUGUGUCCCUCCCGAAGCUGCGCACUCCGUCGAAGAGGACGGCCUUCCCCAAAUAGAGACGGCCCAGUCUUUGGUCAAGGGUAUACGAGUAGUUGUGUUCCCCUGCUAGAACCUCCAAACAAGCUCUCAACUCUUCACAGCACAGAAAUUGCUAUAGGCAGUAUGUAAACAAAUAAUCAUGCCUGUGUUCCAAUGAAACUUUAUAAAAUCAGGCUUGGGACCAAUUUAGACAUAGGUUCUAGUU